GUGCAUAAGUGUGAUUCAUCUCUCACUUCUCAGCGACUGGUGGAUAUUCUGGCCUGGCUCUGUCGCUCGGCGUCAUAUUGCCGAGGUCGCAGUCUUGCACUUCCUCAGGCCUGAACUUGUACAAUAUCACCAUGACCUUCCCUUCCCCACUCACCACACACCGACCUGCGAAUGUGGGACUAAGUGGCAGUUUUAGGUCACAGGGAUUAUGGACGAUAAUUUGGUUACACAGCAGGCACUGGCUUUGGGUUGUUGAUGUCCAGCCAGUGAAGUGUGUCCGCCUCUCCGACCAGCGCCACGACCCGGUCACGUGACCUGAAACAACUAAACAUGCUGCUAAAGAUGUUAGUGAGGCGUUUACCAAAUCUGCCACGGGUCGGUGAGGGGAGUCCAGUGUCUUCCUGCUGGGAUGUCUCUAGGCAUUCGGUUCCACCCAGGAGAUUGGCACUUCACCCAGCGACAGAACGCUGCAGACAUCUGAGCUGUCCAUCGCAGAAUCCAC